AUUGUUUCGGUGAUGAUGCAAAAUCGAAUCGUUAUCCUUGCACUUUGAGAUUGCCAGUGAAGAAAAACUCACGGGGAAAUUUUGUUCUGAGAUUUAU
rnacentral:snoRNA from 1 species